GAAGCAAGAUGACAACUUUAAAACCUGGUCUUGCUAUCUGCACUCAACCAAACAGUACUCUAAUAAACAAGGAAACAAAAGUUAUUAGCAUAAAAUGUUGAGCGUCUCCAAAGCAAAGUCGAAAAUUCACAAAAGUAGUGCAUCUUAAAUAAAGAAUGGCCAGUAAUUGGGCAAGAUUCCAUUACAGAUGACUCAGCCAAAUAUGUGAGGAGGCUGCAGGGAGGCAGGAUGCGAGGCAAGAGGGACUGCGUGGGAAGAGAUAGUGUGGGGGACGGGAGCCAUGUGUAGGAGCCUAGUCUAUUACUUUAGGGCUCACAUAGCCACGAUGCUUUUCUUUGGAACCUCCCCAUUAAAAAAAGAUAAGGCACAGAAAACACCCGCCCCCUCUGUAGGCGUUGCAUUAUUCCCGCAUACGUGAUGCUGAGAGAUGAGAGAGUAUCCUUGCUUAACUUCACUGCUGCCAGUGGUGAGGCGCGAGAACGAGGAGGCGAAGCAGUGAUGCGGACAGCUGACAGAAACUGCGUCACUCAGCAGACUGAAGUCACAUCAGGUCAGCUGGAAAGGUUAAAUCUCCCUACCACUGGGAUCUCAAAGAAUCCAUGCAUCCCCAUGACUUAAGUUUCUCAUAUCACUGCUAGACUGACAAGUCAACUGUUCAUACUCCUCUCAACAUGUGCUGUCUCCGAUAUCUGAAUGUCUCUCUGAAUAUAUCAAAUUAAAUGUCCAGUCAUGACUUCAUA